GCCUUCGUAGAUCAUGGGAGAUCGCCUCGACGAAUUACUGUGUUAGGCCUUGCCCCUUCAUACCGAGGAGUAGGAGGUUCGAACCCUCCCGAAGGCA